rnacentral:rRNA from 1 species
UGGGGAAUAUUGCACAAUGGGCGCAAGCCUGAUGCAGCAACGCCGCGUGAACGAUGAAGGUCUUCGGAUCGUAAAGUUCUGUUGUAGGGGAAGAUAAUGACGGUACCCUGUGAGGAAGCCCCGGCUAACUACGUGCCAGCAGCCGCGGUAAUACGUAGGGGGCUAGCGUUAUCCGGAUUUACUGGGCGUAAAGGGUGCGUAGGUGGUCUUUCAAGUCGGUGGUUAAAGGCUACGGCUCAACCGUAGUUAGCCUCCGAAACUGGAAGACUUGAGUGCAGGAGAGGAAAGUGGAAUUCCCAGUGUAGCGGUGAAAUGCGUAGAUAUUGGGAGGAACACCAGUAGCGAAGGCGGCUUUCUGGACUGCAACUGACACUGAGGCACGAAAGCGUGGGUAGCAAACAGG